CGGCACUUGAGGAGCACUUGCGCUCGCUCUUCCGCCUCAUCGUCCACCACGGCCACGAUCUGAAGCCCGGCGCUG
rnacentral:rRNA from 1 species